UACAGAGGGUGCGAGCGUUAAUCGGAAUUACUGGGCGUAAAGCGUGCGUAGACGGUAGCGUAAGUCAGAUGUGAAAGCCCCGGGCUCAACCUGGGAAUUGCAUUUGAGACUGCUCUGCUCGGGUGCGGAAGAGGGAAGCGGAAUUUCCGGUGUAGCGGUGAAAUGCGUAGAUAUCGGAAGGAACACCAGUGGCGAAAGGCGGCUUCCUCGGUCCGACACCGACGUUCAGGCACGAAAGCGUGGGGAGCAAACAGG
rnacentral:rRNA from 1 species